CACCAGCAAAGUUCGAUAUGCUCAUUCAAACGCCCACUGGUUCUCCCGCCGCACCUCUUCCUCUUCCUCAGGUGUGAAGUCAUUUUUGAUAUUGAAGGUCUUGCGAAUUUCUUCUGGGGUCUUUCCCUUGAUCAUGUCAGCAACUGUUUGGCACGUCAAAUCCAGUAGUCCCUUUAUGUUAAGGUAAUUUGCUGCCUGAAAACAUUCCAAGUAUCAUUAAGACCAACCGAAUGAAAGCCUCAUCAACAACAAAAACAUCCAAUUUUAUGCGUAACCAGCAAAUAGAUGGGACUACAAGAAUACAAAAAUAAUAAUAAGACCACACACCAUACGUAAAAAUAUGUCUAAUAUGGCAAGUUAGACGCCAGUCGUCACACACUGAAGAAAAUCUAGGAGUAUAGAAUAGAAACAAAUUCUUAUUCUACUAACGUAUAAAAGCACAAAAUUUCCACCACCACGGACCCUAACCCUUGUUCUUGGUCAUGAUCAUGAUCAUGGUAGCUGUUCAAACUAUAUUCAACAAAGGACACAGAGAUAAACCUUGAUGCCUUUGGAGCCCAAAGAUCUCCUUAUAACUAGUAUCAAUGCAUUCAAACUAAAUCCAAAUUAAUUUGAUAGAGAAUUGCAUAUGGCCAUCCAAACUAAAUAAAAUAGAUAACCUAACUCUCACUACCACAUCUCCAUGGAUGUUUCAGUCAAAUUCUCUCAAUAAGUAUAUCAUUCUUCCAAUCUCUAUGGUGUCUGAAUCCGUUAGUUUAUUCCAUUCAUGUAUUUCAAUUCCAAGAUUCAAACUCUGAAGAAACAUGAGCCCCACAUCUAACUUUAAGAAAAACUUGUCGGUAAAUACAAAAUCCUGGCAAGAGAUCUAUAAGAUCGUUGGAACUUCUAACUCAAUAUAAAAAUGAACCCUGCAUCUAAUUUUAGGUAAACUUGUCCAUAAAUACAAAUUACAAGAGAUCAAAGAUCAAGGGAACAUUUAACUCAAAAUCAACAUGAACCCUAGAUCUAAUUUUGUGUAAGCCUAUCUAUAAUGACAAAAUUCUGGCAAGAGAUCUACGAUCAAGGGAACAUCCACUUCUCUUAUCAAUAAAAUAAAAUUUAUCAAGCAUUUCAGCAACCAGGGCAUCCACCAGAAAUCAGUUAGAAAUUUGAUUACAAGCUUGAGCACAAUACAUAUAGUUUGGAUGCAUAUAGUUAUAUACUCCCAGCCUUUGUAAAACAUAGGACUAUUCCGACACAUCAUGGCACCAUGAGUUCUGAUGUAUCAAACAAGUAUCAUUGUGCAGCUGACUCAGUAGUCAGGAUGAAAUGCAUGAUUGGAUUAAUUAAACUUUUAGGAUCUGUUUAGAUAUUCCUGCAGCAUUAGGCUGAAAACCCUGCAAGAAUCCAGCCUGGCUCAUCUAGCAUAUAUCUUCUAAACUAUGUGUACAGGUUAUGUCUAGUAUUAUAGGAUAUGAGGCCUGGCCCAGCCUAUGUCAACUGAACCUCUUCCAGUCCAUUCCUAUAGGAUAGGGAAAAAGACCAGGUGAGGUCAUUUUUUUAUCCCUAUGGAAUUCGAGCCGGUCCACUUUGAAUUUUUUUUUUUUGAAUACUGUGAAUAUGGGCUAGCCUGGCCUGUGUUCUUGUAAAUCUUGUUGGAUUGCACAGGAUUAUUCAAACAGGCUCUUAACAUAUAGUUACUAUUGUUAUAUAAAAUACCAUGAAUAAUGGUUCCUGCAUUUUUACUUUAUACCGUUCAAUUUCUCAUUUCAAGUAUUAGGUACUGAAAUUGGUUGAGUGUUGCUACUUGAAGAAUUUAUUUAGGUUGAAAUUAGAAAAUUUGGUGAAGUUUGACAAAAAUAUGUGUUGGUAAGGCUAAUUCUGGUUACUGGUUUUAUUUUGCUAUCGUAAAUGUGCAUCUGCACAUGCAUUUUCACCAGUAGCACUUCAAAGUAAAAUUAUGUUCAAGUGUUAAACUGCAGGAAAGAGAAAACAAAACUUACGUAAAACUGCAGCUAAAAUUAUUUGCAUUUGCACAUUUUUAAGGAGAACAAAUUAGCAAACCAUUACUUAAAACUUCCCUAGAUAUUUUCCAUCAUAUAACAGAAGAAACACAAGCAGAAAUAUAACCAAAAAAAAAAACCAGAAGCAGAAGAUUUAACUUUUGGAGAACCUUAAAUUAAGCACAGACUAAAACUUCAAUCAGAAAAACUGUAUUACUUCUUGAAGAUCACAUGUUUGAAAAGGGCAUCCAAUGACAGUUUCACUACUGUAGAAUCAUAGUCACAUGUAAAUGUCAGAACCAGGCCCAUAAGAACUUUGCACUAAUAUAUGAUGAAAUUCCAGACAGGCAAACGACAAUUGACGCUGUGUAAAAGGAAAAUGUGCUAAACAGUACAAAUGAGGGACAAGGUCGUACCAAUUUAGUCCAGAUCAUCCCAAUACUCAUGACCAGUUAGCCAUUUGGCACAUCAUGUUAUGCUGGUGAUGCAGUAGACUGUUUUCCACAGAUAUGAAUAUAAAAAGUAAAAGAGAUACUUGAAUAUGUUCAACCAUCAAACAACAAUUGAUAUGCAAGAUUAGUGCAGGCAAUUGAUUAAAGUCAUUCAUGAAUGGCUCUUGUUCAGCUCAAUUUUAGGCUUGAUAAAGAUCAAAUUGAGCACAAGCAAGCUAGGAUUAAUCCUAGUACUUAGGUUUGAAAUUAUUUCAAGCCAGGCUUGAGCAAACCCAGCUCAAUCAGGUUUGGCUCAAUAAGAUUGGAAACUGGGCCAGCACCUUUUUCCAGCCACUCAUCAAUUUCUCCUUGUCAAUCCACACUCAAUCAACCUUAAAUUGAAUGUACAGAUCCCCUUCCUUAUUCUCAAAACCAAUUCUGAGCCAGGCCUGAGCCAAUGCUCAUUGAACAAGGCUUGAAAUUAUAUGUGUAAGCAUGUUACCUUGAAAUCAAUCCAACAGCUGAAACUAUUAAACAAAAUGACCUGAACACAGGUGGAACAGUUGAUGGCAGCGGCUUGUUAAUACUGAUUCGUUAAGAACUAAUUAUAUAUAAAAAGGAAUUCAAAAUUUCAAGCUUGAAUCAAACUUCAAUAGAAUGUGACUUAUGCUAGAUUCUGAUCUAGCUCACUUUAGAAUAUCAAGCAAUUCAAAAGAGGCUUGUGUGGGGAUUCAAAAAGGCUUGUGUUGACACAAGACAUAACGAAGCUCACUAAAACAUAAAACAAGCAAAGCAUGCUUCCGUAUCCAAACACAAAAUCAAUUGGAAAAAAAAAAGAAGCUUCACAAUACUCAAAAAUUGAUCUAGCUUGACUAAAUCACAAACCUAUCAAAAAUAUAAGCAUCCAAAGCAUUCAUAUAAAAUACAUUUAUAAUCAACUAUUGAAAUCAAUCCAAUGGCAGCAUGUGUGCGCUGGAGAAAAAUUGUUCUACCUAUAUUGUAUCUACUAAUAUUUUUAAAGUAUUAUAAAGAAUAAAAUAUUGACAGAUUUAUUUAUUAAGGUGUUUCAGUGUAUUUGUUCCCCAUUCAAACAUCAAAAUACAAUGGGUUUGAAUAGAUCGUUGCAACAACCUGCUCACUGCCAAUCCCAAAGCUGCAACCAAAGAAUAUGAUAACUACUUAAAUCCCUGGCAUCUAACCAAUAUCCAAUGAGGAAUCUUUCAGUCGGGCAGAAGUGUCAAGGUAGCACAAGAUUAUUCAAAUAAUAUGAAGGUUCUGUUGCUACAGUUCAUGAUGUGAUUGGCUGCAUGGAUAUGGGCAUUGAUGAUUUCAUAAACAACAUGUAAUAUUUGUUCAAAUGAAGCCUUGAGUUUCUUUCUUGAAUUUAGUAUAAGCCUGAUUAAAAUCAGACUUGAUAUCAGAGGCUAUCAUGUUACUCUAAAUACACUAGUGUGUGGCUUGGUUCUUGAUGAAUCUCAAACAUAUAGGAAAAGAGACAAGAUUACUGAAUUUAAUACUUCAAAUUAGGUUUAAGGCAAGCUACAUCAGACAUAAGAUCAAUCAAACUCACCUAGAGUACAACCCCAUACAGAGCAAGUACAAAGUCCAAAAAGAAAAGAAAAUUUUGACACCUCUAAAAAUGUAAAAUGUGCAUCUAUUAGGGAAAAGGGUAGAAUUUAAUGGAAGUAGUAUGCAUAUUUUAAUUCAAAAUUUCUUGCCAGCAACUGCAAUAUUUCAAAUAGAAACUCAUAUCCGGAUAGUAGUCCAAAUUUCAGGAUUUAUCAUACAUAAAUCCAGCCAAAAAAUAGCUCAAAGUACACAUUGGUUGCAUACACAAAACUCCCUACAACAACUCAUAGAAACUACCAAAAACAAGAUGAUGCAUUUUAAAGGUGAUCACAAGAAACUAACAAAGUGGGUUUUGUUUUUUUUUUUAUCAAGCACUAGAUGUUUUUUUUAUCAACCGCAAGUUUUGUCUUCAUUAGUUCAUCAGUCUCACAAUACACAAUCUAAAAAUCCCUCCCCCUGCCUUCAGAAAGAAAAAAGUGUGAUGGUUUUCAUCAUCCCCAAGUUUAUCUUCAUUAGUUCUUCCAUCUAACUUGACUACACAAUCUAAGGUUGGCCCACCUGAACAUCAUAUUGUUUGUGUGUUGUGUUGUUGUAAGAUUGGCUCCAACCAUUACAGCCAACCAGACAGGCAGGCAUAUGCGUCAGCAUCAUGUUCACAUCAAGACAAGCAGGCAUAUGCAUCAGCAUCAUGUUCACAUCAAGCAAGUCAGAAGCCAUCGCACCAAGUCUCAAAAAUAGGAGAAAGAUUUACCAAAACUAUUCAUAAAUAGGGUGAUCAUUAUCAUGACGAAUGACCUUUACUAUCUUGAGAGUUUGGCAAUCUUGUGAAUGUUGACAAAUCCAUCAAACUGAGGAAAUCAGAACAAGAAACAAAACUACGGUUAUAUAAACGAACUUAGGCAUAAAGGAUAGACAAAAUGGAAACUACGAACCAAUCUGAAACGAAACCCUAAUUCACAAUACCACCGCUACAAGAAAAAAUCACACCACCAACAAAUCAAACAAUAACAAGAAAACGGAGAACAAAGCUAUAUCGCAACCCUAAGCCUAAUUUAUCAACAAACAAACAAAUCGCCCCUAAUCGAAGCCACCACCGAAAAAUCGCACUAAAACAACAACUCAAGCAGAGCAAAAAAAGGAGGAUGGAUCUCUUUCAAAAUUCUCGACCCACUUCAUCAAGAAACGAACAAAUCACGAAAUCCUAAGAAGAUCGACCAUCAAAAAGGGGGGAAAGAUCACGAUGCAAGGAAUCUGACCAGGAUGAGGUCAAAGAGGGUGGCCUGGUCGACCUUGACGAACUCCGCAUCCCAGGUCUUGAGAUCAUCGUCGGCGAGCUUGAAGGAGGUGUCGUCGGCGGCAGACUUGGAGGCGGCAGCGGCGGCGGCGUCUACGUGCUUCUUGCAGUACUCGAUCACUUUCGAGAGGAUCUUGCUGGUGACGUUGGGGAGGGGGAUGCCGUUGCUGGCGC
rnacentral:lncRNA from 1 species